AUUGAACGCUGGCGGCAGGCCUAACACAUGCAAGUCGAGCGGAUGAAUGGAGCUUGCUCCUGUAUUCAGCUGCGGACGGGUGAGUAAUGCCUAGGAAUCUGCCUGGUCUUGGGGGAUAACGUCCGUAAACGGGCGCUAAUACCGCAUACGUCCUGAGGGAGAAAGGGGGGGAUCUUCGGACCUCACGCUAUCAGAUGAGCCUAGGUCGGAUUAGCUAGUUGGUGUGGUAAAGGCCUACCAAGGCGACGAUCCGUAACUGGUCUGAGAGGAUGAUCAGUCACACUGGAACUGAGACACGGUCCAGACUCCUACGGGAGGCAGCAGUGGGGAAUAUUGGGCAAUGGGCGAAAGCCUGAUCGAGCCAUGCCGCGUGUGUGAAGAAGGUCUUCGGAUUGUAAAGCACUUUUAGUUGGGAGGAAGAGAAGUAAGUUAAUACCUUGAUGUUUUGACGUUACCAACAGAAUAAGCAACGGCUAACUUCGUG
rnacentral:rRNA from 1 species